rnacentral:rRNA from 1 species
UCGGGAAUUUUGGGCAAUGGGCGAAAGCCUGACCCAGCAACGCCGCGUGAAGGAUGAAGUAUUUCGGUAUGUAAACUUCGAAAGAAUAGGAAGAAUAAAUGACGGUACUAUUUAUAAGGUCCGGCUAACUACGUGCCAGCAGCCGCGGUAAUACGUAGGGACCAAGCGUUGUUCGGAUUUAUUGGGUUUAAAGGGUGCGUAGGCGGUUCUUUAAGUCAGUGGUGAAAUACAGCCGCUUAACGGUUGAGGUGCCAUUGAUACUGAAGAACUUGAGUACAGACGAGGUAGGCGGAAUUGACGGUGUAGCGGUGAAAUGCUUAGAUAUCGUCAAGAACACCGAUAGCGAAGGCAGCUUACUAGACUGUAACUGACGCUGAGGCACGAAAGUGUGGGGAUCAAACAGGAUUAGAUACCCAAGUAGUCCCUGAGCGGGCUGGCAAGGCGCAU